ACUCAUACAUGCAAGUCGUACGGGUCAGCUUCGGCUGUCACUGGCGGACGGCUGAGUAACACGUGGGUGACCUACCUCCGAGCGGGGGAUAACUGCCCGAAAGGGUGGCUAAUACCGCAGACAUCGGCGAUUCGGUUCGUCGAUUCAACCCGCAAGGGGCUUGGAGAGGGGGCCCGCGGCCGAUUAGCUUGUUGGUGGGGUAAUGGCCUACCAAGGCGACGAUCGGUAGCUGGUCUGAGAGGAUGAUCAGCCAGACUGGGGCUGCGACACGGCCCAGACUCCUACGGGAGGCAGCAGUUAGGAAUUUUGGGCAAUGGGGGAAACCCUGACCCAGCAACGCCGCGUGGGUGAUGAAGGCCUUCGGGUGGUAAAGCCCUUUUCCAGGGGAAGAUAGUGACGGUACCCUGGGAAUAAGCCCCGGCUAACUACGUGCCAGCAGCCGCGGUAAUACGUAGGGGGCGCGCGUUGUCCGGAUUUAUUGGGCGUAAAGCGCUCGCAGGUGGCCUGAUUAAGUCAUGCGUGAAAUCUCCCGGCUCAACUGGGAGCGGUCGUGUGAUACUGGUCGGCUCGAGGUCGGUAGGGGGAAGUGGAAUUCCGGGUGUAGUGGUGGAAUGCGUAGAUAUCCGGAGGAACACCAGCGGCGAAGGCGGCUUCCUGGACCGAUCCUGACACUCAUGAGCGAAAGCGUGGGUAGCGAUCCGGAUUAGAUACCCGGGUAGUCCACGCCGUAAACGAUGAGCACUAGGUGUUGGGGGUAUCGACCCCCCCGGUGCCGAAGCUAACGCGAUAAGUGCUCCGCCUGGGGACUACGGCCGCAAGGCUAAAACUCAAAGGAAUUGACGGGGGCCCGCACAAGCAGCGGAGCGUGUGGUUUAAUUCGACGCAACGCGAAGAACCUUACCUAGACUUGACAUGCACGUGGUAAGACCUGGAAACAGGGAUGACCCGCAAGGGAGCGUGCACAGAUGCUGCACGGCUGUCGUCAGCUCGUGCCGUGAGGUGUUGGGUUAAGUCCCGCAACGAGCGCAACCCUCGCUGCCAGUUACCAUGUCUGGCGGGACCCGCCGGGUCCAACCCGGAGGAAGGUGGGGAUGACGUCAAGUCAGCAUGGCUCUUACGUCUAGGGCUACACACACGCUACAAUGGCCGGUACAAAGGGCUGCGAUGGGGUGACCCGGAGCGAAUCCCGCCAAAGCCGGUCUCAGUUGGGAUUGCAGGCUGCAACUCGCCUGCAUGAACGAGGAGUUGCUAGUAACCGCAGGUCAGCACACUGCGGUGAAUACGUUCCCGGGCCUUGCACACACCGCCCGUCA
rnacentral:rRNA from 1 species